UAUGGGACUGGCCCCGCGGUGCAUUAGCUAGUUGGUAAGGUAAAGGCUUACCAAGGCGAUGAUGCAUAGCCGAGUUGAAGAGACUGAUCGGCCACAUUGGGACUGAGACACGGCCCAAACUCCUACGGGAGGCAGCAGUAGGGAAUCUUCCACAAUGGACGCAAGUCUGAUGGAGCAACGCCGCGUGAGUGAAGAAGGUUUUCGGAUCGUAAAGCUCUGUUGUUGGUGAAGAAGGAUAGAGGUAGUAACUGGCCUUUAUUUGACGGUAAUCAACCAGAAAGUCACGGCUAACUACGUGCCAGCAGCCGCGGUAAAU
rnacentral:rRNA from 1 species